UACGUAGGGAGCAAGCGUUGUCCGGAAUCAUUGGGCGUAAAGCGCGCGUAGGCGGCCCGAUAAGUCCGUUGUGAAAGUCAAAGGCUCAACCUUUGAAUGCCGAUGGAUACUGUCGGGCUAGAGUCCGGAAGAGGCGAGUGGAAUUCCAGGUGUAGCGGUGAAAUGCGUAGAUAUCUGGAGGAACACCGGUGGCGAAGGCGGCAUCCUGGACCGACACUGACGCUGAGGAGCGAAAGCCAGGGGAGCAAACGGG
rnacentral:rRNA from 1 species